rnacentral:rRNA from 1 species
GUUUGGGAAUGCAGCUCAAAGUGGGUGGUAAAUUCCAUCUAAGGCUAAAUAUAAGUGAGAGACCGAUAGCAAACAAGUACCGUGAGGGAAAGAUGAAAAGAACUUUGAAAAUAGAGUUAACAGUACGUGAAAUUGCUGAAAGGUAAACGUUUGAAGUUAGUUUUGUAUUCGUUGGAUCAGCUUCGCAAGGAGUGUAUUCUGAUGAUAAGCAAGUCAACAUCAGUCUAUGAGUGUUGGAGAAGGGUUUUGAGAAUGUAGCAAUUUAAUUGUGUUAUAGCUUGAGACUUGGAUACGAUGCUUUGGAUUGAGGAACGCGUAGUAAGCUUUGAGCGGAUUCGAAAGGAUCUCCUUACUAUGGAUGUUGGUGAAAUAACUUUAAGCGACCCGUCUUGAAACACGGACCAAGGAGUCUAACAUGCUUGCGAGUAUUAGGGUGUUGAAACCCGAAUGCGUAAUGAAAGUGAAUCUAAGAUGUGAUCCGCAAGGUGCAACAUCGGCCAGUCUGGAUCAUUUAUGURAAGGUACUGAGCAAGAGCAAGUAUGUUAGGACCCGAAAGAUGGUGAACUAUGCCUGGAUAGGG